CAUCUGCUUGCUGAAAAGGCAAAGGGAAAGAUCUGUUCAUGAGCAUAGAUCCGGCAGUUAACACCAGCUGGAAAAGAGCCACUCUCAACCAGACAGUUUGAAGAAGUAUCACCUACAAAUUGAUUGUAACUGCCGAGAAGCAGACAUUAAUAUUUGUGAGGUAAGCUGUGUGUAGAAGCUUUCGUCCUCUCUCCACUUUCAGCACAAUGUUAUUCAGAUUCUUUUUAUAUCCCUUUAUAAUUGUCUGUUGCACUUGGAAUAAGGUAUACCUAAAAAGCAGCUG
rnacentral:lncRNA from 1 species